GAUGAAGAACGCAGCGAAAUGCGAUAAGUAAUGUGAAUUGCAGAGUUUUGUGAAUCAUCGAAUCUUUGAACGCACAUUGCGCCCCUUGGUAUUCCAUGGGGCAUGCCUGUUCGAGCGUCAUUUGUACCUUCAAGCUUUGCUUGGUGUUGGGUGUUUGUCCCGAGGGACUCGCCUUAAAGUAAUUGGCAGCCAGUGUUUGGUUUUGAAGCGCAGCACAAGUCGCGAUUCAAGGCUACACGCCCGCUUCCACAAGCCUUUUUUCACUUUUGACCUCGGAUCAGGUAGGGAUACCCGCUGAACUUAAGCAUAUCAAUAAGCGGAGGA
rnacentral:misc_RNA from 1 species